GAAUAUUAGUCAAUGCUCGAAAGAGUGAACUAGCUAACUGAAAUCAAUUAAAAAUUGAUAACAUAAGGGAAAAUAAUGAUAUUACCUUAUUAUUAGUGUCGUCCAAAACUGGUGCCAGAAGACUCGGUAAGGCCAGAGACACGAACGUUAAUCGUCUUAAUCAGGCGUAAAGGGUUUGUAGGCGGCUUACAAAUUUAUUUAAAUAAUAUUAAGUAAAGAAUAAAAGCUAGAAUCAAAUAGAGGAUAUAUGAAAGAAUGCUUAGAGUAGGUCUGAUAUCCUUAGAUACUAAGUAGAAUAUUAAAGGCGAAAGCUUUUUUCCAUUAAUGAUUGACGCUCAGAAACGAAGGUGAGGAUAGGAAAUAGGAUUAGAUACCCAGAAUACCCCUCUCUGUCAACGAUGAAUGGUAGUUAUUAGUAAAAAUUAUUAAUGGCAAUGUUAACACGAUAACCAUUCCGCCUUGUGAGUACAACUGCAAAGUUGAAAACAAAAAAAUUAGUCGGUUUCGGAGCAAACGAAGUGAAGCAUGUUAUUUAAUUC
rnacentral:rRNA from 1 species